rnacentral:rRNA from 1 species
GAUGAACGCUGGCGGCGUGCCUAAUACAUGCAAGUCGAGCGAACGGACGAGAAGCUUGCUUCUCUGAUGUUAGCGGCGGACGGGUGAGUAACACGUGGAUAACCUACCUAUAAGACUGGGAUAACUUCGGGAAACCGGAGCUAAUACCGGAUAAUAUUUUGAACCGCAUGGUUCAAAAGUGAAAGACGGUCUUGCUGUCACUUAUAGAUGGAUCCGCGCUGCAUUAGCUAGUUGGUAAGGUAACGGCUUACCAAGGCAACGAUGCAUAGCCGACCUGAGAGGGGGAUAGGCCACACUGGAACUGAGACACGGUCAAGACUCCUAAGGGAGGCAGCAGUAGGGAAUCUUACGCAAUGGGCGAAAGCCUGACGGAGCAACGCCGCGUGAGUGAUGAAGGUCUUCGGAUCGUAAAAAUCUGUUAUUAGGGAAGAACAGAUGUGUAAGUAACUGUGCACAUCUUGACGGUACCUAAUCAGAAAGCCACGGCUAACUACGUG